UCGAAGGUAAUUAGAACGCUGGUUAAGUGAGACUUUUAGGAUUUCUCCAUAUGCUAAAUAUUUUAUUUCAAAUUGUACUUUAAAUUACUGCCACCAUAGCCGUGUUACACGUCUUCAGAGAACCAAAAUUAAUUUCAGUUUUAACAUUUUCUACCAAAAUGUGCAGACCUAACACUUGUAUUCUUUUACAACGUGCUGUGUCAUGUAUACAGGGUGUUUGAGCAAAAACAUAUGUAAUCCAUCCAGAUAAAUGUGUAAGUGGAAGUCUAUUUUUAUUUUGAGGUUCAUUCACUGUCAGUAUAUUGAAAUAAAUUAUAUGUGUGUACAGUACUUUGAUGACAUGUUUGUGAUAUGAGCACUGUUUUAUAUUUUAUCUUUGUUUUUAUGUUAUUAAAUUUCAUAUGAAGUAAUCCAAAUGAUAUAUAUGAUACACAUCUUUCACACUCAAAGUAGAUCUUGCUGACAUUUGAGAGGCGCUCUCUGCCAUCACAUGAAGACGCAGGCAGUAAGCUCCAAUGAUUGCAAGGUAACAACAAUGCCGAGUAAGCAGAUGACGUUUCCUAGGCCACUGCGAGCAGCCUGUGAAGCCAUCCUCACUGUGUGGUCAAGUGUUUGUCCCACAGAAGUAAGUUACUGUUUACCGAUGACUGUGAUGACCUUUGAUGAAUCUGCGGAGAGCGUAAAAGGCGGGAGACGUCACACGCAUGCACAGCGCACGACCUAGCCCCGGGUCUUUCAGCUUAUAUGACAACUUCUUUUCAUAAAAUUCCCGUGGGACAAUGCUUGUGUGUCGAAAAAAGGGCGUAACCAUUUAUCAGUCUGCGUUGGUACUAAUAAAAGGAGGAUUGUGCCAUAUAUGUAUCACUCCUGUCACGACCUUCCUUGUAAACCCCC